GAAACUGACGUGGAAAGUGGCGGAAGGGUGAGUAACGCGUGGAUAACCUACCCUUGAGUUGGGGACAACAUCCCGAAAGGGGUGCUAAUACCGAAUGUGGUAACCUGUCGCAGGACAGGCUCACUAAAGACGGGGAUUCUUCGGAACCUGUCGCUCGAGGAGGGGUCCGCGUCCCAUCAGCUUGUUGGUAAGGUAAAGGCUUACCAAGGCAUACGGGUAGCCGGCCUGAGAGGGUGAUCGGCCACACUGGGACUGAGACACUGCCCAGACUCCUACGGGAGGCUGCAGUCGAGGAUCAUUCGCAAUGCGCGAAAGCGUGACGAUGCGACGCUGCGUGGAGGAUGACGGCCUUAGGGUUGUAAACUCCUGUCAUGAGGGAAAAACGGCCGGUAGGAUAAUACUCUAUCGGUGUGAUGGUACCUCAAGAGGAAGCCACGGCUAACUCUGUGCCAGCAGCCGCGGUAAUACAGAGGUGGUGAGCGUUGUUCGGAUUUACUGGGCGUAAAGGGUGCGUAGGCGGUUAUGUAUGUCGGAUGUGAAAUCCCAGGGCUCAACUUUGGAAUUGCAUCCGAAACUGCAUAACUUGAGUGCAGGAUGGG
rnacentral:rRNA from 1 species